rnacentral:sRNA from 1 species
UUGAAAGAAUGUACCGUAGACAGUAGGGGCUAAGGCUUAAUCAUCCUACCGAGGACUUAUAUAAAAAGUUUUCGGCUCCCACUAGGUAUUAGAGGGAGCUUUUUAUUCG